rnacentral:rRNA from 1 species
GAUGGUAGUGUAUUGGACUACCAUGGCAGUAACGGGUAACGAAGAAUUUGGGUUCGAUUUCGGAGAGGGAGCCUGAGAGAUGGCUACCACAUCCAAGGAAGGCAGCAGGCGCGUAAAUUACCCAAUCCUGACAUAGGGAGGUAGUGACAAUAAAUCACAAUGCGGAACUAUUAGUUUUGCAAUUGGAUUGAGAACAAUGUACAAAUGUUAUCGAUAAACAAUUGGAGGGCAAGUCUGGUGCCAGCAGCCGCGGUAAUUCCAGCUCCAAUAGCGUAUAUUAACGUUGUUGCAGUAAAAAAAGCUCA